GGAUAGCUCAGUCGGUAGAGCGUGAGACUUUUAAUCACACGGUUGUGGGUUUGAGUCCCACGUUGAACA